rnacentral:lncRNA from 1 species
ACUGUGUAGUAUUCCAUGGUAUGGAUGUAUCACGUUUUGUUUAUCCAUUCACUAGGAGUGGGUGGUUAUAAAAGCAAGCCCAGCCCUUGGUAGUUCUCAGAUAUAUGCACUUGCUUCUGCCCUCCACCUUUCCACUAUGGACCAGAUACCAGCACCAUGCUCUUGGGUUCACUUACAUUAUCUCACUCAAGCCUAACAAUAUUUUGUAGUAAAUUUAGCUUUGAUUUUAGA